AUUAGUGGCGAACGGGUGAGUAACACGUGGGCAAUCUGCCCUGCACUCUGGGACAAGCCCUGGAAACGGGGUCUAAUACCGGAUAUGACUGUCCGCCGCAUGGUGGAUGGUGUAAAGCUCCGGCGGUGCAGGAUGAGCCCGCGGCCUAUCAGCUUGUUGGUGAGGUAGUGGCUCACCAAGGCGACGACGGGUAGCCGGCCUGAGAGGGCGACCGGCCACACUGGGACUGAGACACGGCCCAGACUCCUACGGGAGGCAGCAGUGGGGAAUAUUGCACAAUGGGCGAAAGCCUGAUGCAGCGACGCCGCGUGAGGGAUGACGGCCUUCGGGUUGUAAACCUCUUUCAGCAGGGAAGAAGCGAGAGUGACGGUACCUGCAGAAGAAGCGCCGGCUAACUACGUGCCAGCAGCCGCGGUAAUACGUAGGGCGCAAGCGUUGUCCGGAAUUAUUGGGCGUAAAGAGCUCGUAGGCGGCUUGUCACGUCGGUUGUG
rnacentral:rRNA from 2 species